ensembl:lncRNA
AUGUUUCCGAUGUAUCGAAAAAAGAAAAAGAGAUUGAAAAAAAAAAAAAUGAAGAGACAAAAGAAGAAGGAUCUAUCUCGUGCUAUGCACAUAACAGCAGAAGACAUUCCGGAAGAAAAGAAAGAUGAUAAAGAUGAUAUAGAAAUAGCCAGUGAUCUUGGAGCUAAUAUUAGAGAAAACAUAGAAAGACAUUAUGAUGAAACUAACCCAUCUCUUUUGAGCAAUGAGUUACUAGAUAGUAAAAUACCUGUCAACAUAGAAACAUUGUUAAUGCAUGACUUGGAAGAAAGAAAAUGGAUAUCAAAAAAACCAAUUAGUGAUAAAGUUUGUUUACGAGAUUAUUCACAACAGUGUCCUGUAACUUGGGAAAAAAUAUCUGACACACAAUGUAUAUCUCCUAAAGACUAUUCCGGACCAUGUUCUCACAUUAUGACUUUUGAACCGUUAAGUGCGAAAGAAAAAAGUGCCUUAGGAGUACAAUGCAAAGUGAAUUGGAUAUGCCUUAACGAGUCAUGUGGGAAUAGUGAAAGAGAUUACUCAAAAGAAUGUCCAGAAAAUUGGAUAUAUACAGGAAAAUGCGAAGCCCCAGAAAAUUACUCUGGAGGUUGUAGCAAAGCAAUGGAUUUUGGAGCUUUCACAAUAAAUGAAAAGGAGGAUUUUUNNUUAGCUUGUAAAGUGGUUUGGGCGUGUAAAAACGAAUCAUGUAAACGGGAUUACUCAAUAACAUGUCCUAAAGGAUGGUCUUACAAUGUGAAAAAGGAUGUAUGCAGUAGUGACAAAGACUUCAAAGGUUUAAUUUCUGAAGAGGAAAGGGAAUCUAUUAGUCACAUGUCUUAUGAUAAAAAAGUCGCGUUUUCAGUGAAAUAUGGAAUUUCAUGGCCAUGUGAGAACAAAUGUACGUAUGGGUACAAUAUUUAUGCUUGUCCUAGAGGUUGGAUAAAUUUAAUGGAUUCAGGAUUAUGUAGAGCACCGGAUGAUUAUAACCCUACCAAUAAUUGUCCUCGUAUAACACACUUUGAUUACAUGAGUUCAAAAGAAAAAGAAAAUUUUAGUAAAAAUUGUAACGUAAAAUGGUUAUGUUCAGAAAACUCACAAAGAGAUUAUUCUAAGUGUCCUAUAAAUUUUGAUUAUAUUACUGAAGGAACUGAUAAAGGAAUGUGUAGGCCAAAUGACAAAUAUGAAGGGCCAUGUAAAGAAGCUCAAGAUAUAUUAUCAUUAAAUCUAACAAAUAAAUAUAACUUUGAAGAAACAUGCGAAUGUCAGUUUCCAAUUAUAAAUAAAAAAGAUAUUCCACAAACAGAACAGGAUAUCAUAUCUCCUAAUCAGUUACAAAAGCUACUAAAAGGAGCAGAUAUCUCUAAAAAGGAAAUAACUUUAGAGUAACUGUUCGUCUGUUUGCUAGUUUGUUCUGUUUAAUUUAUUUUUUGGAUUAAUAUAUUCUUAUUUAACAGGUGUUUAAAUACUCAGAUAAAUCCACAUUUUUGUUUGCUUGUUUGUUUGCUUGUUUGUUUGCUUGUUUGUUUGUUUGUUUGUUUGUUUGUUUGUUUGUUUGUUUGUUUGUUUUUUAUAUAAUUAUUUUUUUUUUGUUUUGUUAUCUUUUGUUUUAGUUUUAAAAAGGUCUAUAAAUAUAUAAUAUAUUAUUUAUUAGUUUGAUUAUAUUUUAGAAAAAAACAAAUAAUGUAAUAAACAAAAUGCAAACGACA